rnacentral:rasiRNA from 1 species
CGAGAACAAAUUAUCUGCAACGCCAGCC